rnacentral:piRNA from 1 species
UAUGAUUUCAGGCCUGACCACUUGGUAUUGU